CCUAAGGAGAGGAAGGUCAUUGCAGUGAGCUGGGCCCUGGCAUAUGCUUAUCGCACACUGCUAGAUAGUGUCGGGCAGCAGACAGAGGCAGGGGGGCAGGGAGAUAAAUCAGCAACAAUCCCAGUGACUCAGGCUGCAGCCAACAGCCCAGGCUCGAAGCCAGCAGCCAAACCAGAUAGUGAGCCCAAGCCAGCAUCUAAACCCAUGGCGGUUGCUACCAGCACUAGAAGUGGGAAAUGCAUGGACAAGACCAGUCGACCAGUGGAUGAUGAUGAUGAUGAAGGAGAAGGAACCUCCAUGCCUCCUGACAUAAAAUCAGGAGUCAAAGCAGCAGGUGCAAGAUCAGAUGCAAAUAUUGAGUCCUUUCCCCUGAAGGACCUUCGUGGCUUACGGAAGGAUUACACACGACGACCCGAUGAAUCCAUAAUUAGUUGGCUGGUCCGUCUCUGGGAUGCUGCAGGCGAGGCUACAAUUCUGGAUGGCACUGAAGCCAGGCAUUUGGGAUCCCUCUCACAGGAUCCUGUCAUCGACCAAGGAAUGAUGAGGGGGGCUAAUCCACACAGCCUCUGGGCAUGGGUCUUGGACAGUGUUGCACGAAGAUACCUGUGCACAGAUGAUCUCUAUAUGCAACAAACUCAGUGGAAGACCAUAGAGCAAGGGACCCAACGCCUGAGAGAAAUGGCAGUGGCAGAGAUUAUCUUCUCAGAUGAUGUAGCAACUAGGAACCCAGACUUAGUACCAUGCACGUCUGUGAUGUGGCGAAAACUCGUACGACUCGGGCCACAUGAAUAUGCUUCUGCAUUAGCCAUCAUGAAGAGGGAUGAGAGGGGUGAGACUGUGCUUGACAUGGCAAGGAAGCUCCGAGCAUAUGCUGUCCAUGGCCCGACACAUGCCAGAAUCGCAGCGGUAGAAACACGUCUGCAGAAUUUAGAGGAUAAGAUAGAGGAGAACCAUAAGAAGCUUAGAGAGGAGAUCAAAGAAGACCUUCUCCAAAUUUCAGCAGUACAUAUUCGAGGUUCUGUUAUCCAAGCAGAUGUUUCCCAGAUGGUGAGAGAAGGUACACCCCCUGAGCUGUGGUUUUACCUGCGUGAUUGUGGAGAAAACAUAAGAAGGUGGGAUAGGAAACCUACUGCUGUUCUGGCACAACGGGUGCGCGAACUGAAGGAAGCCACCAGAAGGAAAGCAGCUCCAGUUGCCCGUAGCCAAAUGGCCAGGUAUGAUGAUGAGGACACAUCUGAUCCCCUUGAAGGAACAUACAAAAUAUAUGCCCAGGGAAAGAAGGAUAACCAGGCUUAGAGGGGCCCUGCCUCUAGUCAGGUAGAGGCCAGGGAAAAUUUUGUUUUCUGGUCUGUGUGGAUUCGUUGGCCUGGCACAUUGGAACCACAAAGCUUUGGUGGAUACUGGUGCACAAUGCACAUUAAUCCCAUCAAGACAUGUGGGGCCAGAGUCUGUUUCUAUUGCUGGUGUGACAGGGGGA
rnacentral:lncRNA from 1 species